AUUAAGGGACCCGAAGCCAUCUCCAAGAUCCUUUCCAGAUCGAAACUGUAUGAUCGCAAAACUGUAUGAUCCCAAAGUGCUUCUCUGUAAAAAGUACAGAGAAGUGGAUGGUAAAAAGGGCGUGUCCAUUUUACCGAGGGGGAAACUGGGGGAGCCAAAACAAAAGAGACAGCUUGGAACUUGUUAGACUCUCAGACUUUGACUCCAGGAAUGGCCCACAGAUCACUCCAGGGAGCUGACUGAAUGCUUAGGUGGUUUGAUUUCCAUCCCCUCGUACAGAAGAGGAAAGUCCCAAGAUUGUUUCAUUCAAGAGAGGAAAGGAACGUGGGGAGUCUACAGUUGUGAUUUCAAUGGCUCAAAGAACUCACAGUGUGGAAACUCCCUCCAGGGAAGUGUAAUGGCAACUCCUCUUUAACUUAAUCUCCAGGGAUGUCCUAGGGUGCUAAGAGAUGAAGAAACUGAGGCUGAAGGAGAUUAAGUGACCUGCCC